AUGAAAAGAUUUUUAAGGAAAAUUCGAAAGGUGUUUGCUAAAUGUGCAAACAAAGCGCCAUCAAAAGAACCACAGACUGGUGGUUCAAAGGAUUUACCCAUGGAAGCUGUGGAUCAAAGCUCUCACAGCGAUACCAGCUCUCUCGGGAUGACUUCAUGGGAUUUAGAAAGUGAAGAAAGUUCAACCUCAGACAGUUUCAAAUUGAAUUUGAGGGCACAACAGUCUGAGAGUGAAGCAUCAGAAUGUUCAGAUUAUAUUUCAAAAAUCAUGAGGGAAGCAAAAUGCUCCACCAAACCCCCCGGAUAUAAAAUUAAAAGAGAGCAGAUUUUUGCAAUGAUGGAAAACAUUUUGGAAAGAAAUAUGUCACCUAAAGCCCACAGGUCUUUUGACGAGAUAUUUAAAUACAGAUUUAGGAGAAGUAAAGAGUAUCAAGUUCUUAUCCAAAUUUGGAACAUGUAUAAUUCCAUAUUUAUUUUAGAUGUGAUCUAUCACAUUGAUAGAAUCAAAACUAUGAUUGAGAAUGAAUUCAUGCCCGAAUGGACCUCUCUUCUGCAACACAUUUCAUUGACAAGCUUGAAAAAGAGGCUAAAACAAUUCAAAUGGACCCAAGAGAACAAGGAUUGGAUAAAAGACAUGAUUCAAAACAGACAUGCCAAUAUUAUAAAAAAACUUCCACGGUUUGAUAAAUAUCAGUUCAAGGAUUUAUAUUCUGAAUGCUUGUCCAGAUACACUAAUGCAAUAAAUGAAGAUAUGACUAAAUAUGUAUUAGGAGAUGAAUCUGAGCCCUCAGAUGAAAUUCAUUCAGGAUCUUCUGGAGAGUUUCAGUGUGAAACUAUUUCACAGACUGAAGAGUUCCUUGGGGAAACAGUGGAAUCCAUCAUGAAUGAUGUCAUUUUAGAAAUAUUUUACUGUCGAAUGAAUAACAUUACCUCUGCCAUCACUGAUGCCAUAAAUGAGGUUAUCUGUAGCGACAGUACCGUGUCACAUGAGGCAAACUCAGAUCCUGUUAUAGAAGAAGCUAAAAAGCAAAGAGCAAAAUUUUAUGAAAAAACCGUGGACAAAGUGUUGGUCAAAGCUUUAAGGAAAAUCAAAAAAAGAGCCUUACAACCUGUAACUGUAAGAAAAAUUAUCACGUGCAUAGAUAACUUUCACUCUUCGGUUUCUAUUAAUCUUACUGUCUGGUCAGUAUUGCUUCGUGACAAGUUAUACACUUUUCCAAGACAAGAGGCUUCAAGAAAAGUAUAUAAGGACGCUCUAUUCAAAAUUAUCCACUACCACCCAGGAAUGAGCCAUAAAAGAAUCCUUAAACGGAUCAAACGCUACCUCUACCCAGAAAUAGAAUCAAAAAAGAGAGAGGAGAGAGAAAGGAAAAGAGUUAUUCAAAAUAAAUCUUGUCUUAAAUUUAAAAAGUCAUCAGAAAAAUUAAAGAAAAUCGGAACAAAUUUAAAACUGAUAGAGUCUGUUAAAAAAGUAAUAACACUGGUGGUUCAGAAACUACUGAAGGACUCAGACUGUGUGGAGAAGAUUUGCAAAAGAAUUCUGGAAGUAAACACAGAUGAGAACAUCCUGAAGGAUUUGAACACACACUAUGAAAGUGUUUUCAAGGAAUUGUGUGAAAACUGGGCAAGGUCAGAGAGUAUGCCUUCAUUGGGAGAUAUAGGAAGUGAUCAGCUUAAUAAUAGGAUUGCUGCACAUUUCAUUAAGUACAUAAAAGAGUUGCAAAAGAAGCCUCGUUCCAUCAAAACUGAAAAUACAGAACACCACCUCCCGACAAAACCUAAAAGAAAAUGGUGGAGAGUGGUGAAAAAUUUCUUCAAAAGAAAAUUUGGUUCUAAAACUGAAUUUUCAGCAGAAAACAGAGACGAAUCUGGUCAGACCAGCCCAGAGGAGAAAGUUAGAGAGUGUGUUCAGAAUGUCAUAUUGAUGUUAUUUCAGAAACUUCUAAAGGACUCUGACAGUGUGAAGAGUAUCUGUAAAAAAAUUCAACAUACAAGUGCAGAUAAACUAGGGCUGACAAAUUUGGAC
rnacentral:lncRNA from 1 species